CAUAUCGCCGAAUUCGCAGGCGGUGAGAGACAAAUACGGCGUGCCAAAGACAUAUUGGGUGUCUCAAAAUCACUGAGAACUCUAUAGCUCAAAACUGAAGCCCUGCACUCUGUUAGAUCUACCCCGUAACCCGUUGAGUGGCAUUCUUGUGAAAAUUAUGUAAAAAUAUUUAUCAGAAUAAGGUAGAAGUGUAGGGGGUGGCAGGUGAGGUGCAGAAGGAGAAGAAGAAGAAGUUGUACCUAUCCAGUAAUUUUAUCUUGAUUUGUGGACUAGACGAAGACUAGAUUUUGAUGAAGAAAUCGACAAACUUGAACUGCAGGACUCGUGGCGCUGCUCGCCUCUUCGCCAAUGCGAAUGCGUUCUCUGAGGACAACCCGCCCAAGGCUACCAUGACGAAGCCACGCCACCGCGCCGGCUAUAGACUCACGUCCUGAAGCGAGUUUGGGCGCGACGGCUGGCGAGCCAAGGCGGCGGAAAGUCGUCUGGCGGAGCUCCCGUCUGAGGCGAGCUUGAUCUGGUCAGACAGCUCCGCCACCGAUGGUGUGCUAGAUGGAGGAGGAGGGGCCACCCCCCCCCCCCUGAACCGCGACAUCCGAGAGGUGCGUGUCGCGGCAGGCGCCCUCUGCUUUAGCACGCGCGGCGAGCUAUUCGCCCUAAGAGCGGUGUUGGAGGAGCUGGCCGGACGGAUGGUACCGGUCGAUAUGGGUCGACCGCCGUCUAUCCCAACGGUAGCGCCGAUCGACGUAGGCACUUUCUGCAAGGCAGGCGCGCGCGCGCGACAGGCGCGCCACGGCAGGCGCGCGCGCCUGGCAGCGGAACUGGCCGGACGGAUGGUACCGGUCGAUAUGGGUCGACCGCUGUCCUGGCUCCGUCCUGGAGGCCGACCGUGCAGUCGUUAUCGACAUCCGCCAGUACCUGCUCUGCAUCGGCCGCCUCCCGAGGCCGGAUGCCCACAAUGCAACGACGUGGAGUGCCCUGCUGCCCGAUGCCGCGUCUGCCGCGAAGAGGCUGGCACUCCACGGUAUGUGCUGCUGCGAUGCGCGGCGCUGGCGGUGUUGCGACAAAGAGCCUCGGCAGCUGAACUGCUUCAAGCGACGUAACGAUAUCUGCCCUCCCCUCCCCUAUCGAGCCGCGUGGGUGUGGACGGACGGGUCGGCAGACGCGAGAACCUGCAGCGAAGGAGCUGGGGUCUACGGGGAGUAGCAGCACGAAUGGACUGAUGAGCCGCGUGUCCCGGCCGGUCCAUUCUGCUGUUCCAGCUCCAGGACCGGCCGCGCCGUCGCCACCCGUCCGGCGUCAGUGGAGGACCGCUCAUCAGCUGUCGAUUUUCAUCAGUUUCGUUUGGACCACUGGUCGGGCUCCUGCCAGUGCCGACAUUGGGUUGGGCGGAGUCCUACCGAUGAAUGCCGCGAGUGCUGCAACAUUGGCUCGGUACAUCUCGGUACAUUUUCCCGAGUCUGGUGUGGCUACGGGGAGACGGAUUUGGUGACCCUGGCUGCCGCCGUGAGAACCAUCCAGAACCGUACGGCUAUGCUGCGGCAGCGGCUGAAAGGAACGCAACAACAAUAACUACAACAGCAGCUGCUAAUGAAAGGGGAAAUCAUGGAGCCGGAUGACCCGGUACAUGGCGCUCAGCCAGCUGAGAAUGAGAGCCGCUAUCAAAUCGCCAGCAGGGUGCUGCGGCUGGUAACUGACGACCUUGGUAGAGAGAGCGCCUCCGCUGAUGCGGAUGAAACUACCCCCUCUCGGGUUUGUUUGACGCCGUCUCCGUCGACUCUUUCGCCUGGGCCGGCUGGCGACCGCGACAUUUCUUGUGCAGUGACUCGUAACUAUGUUCACCAAACUUUUAAAACUCCUCACGUUAGCAUCUUUAAAGAAUGUUUCCCUUGUACACUGCUGCAAUGUCUUAUGUAGGCAUAUUGUAGGUACAGUCUAAACGAGUGUGGAAUGCUUUGUUGUGCUUGUUCUGUAUUUCGUUUGCUAUUUAUCACGGUGACUAUAAUUUAUUUUGACCAACCCUUGCCUUGUUACAAUUUUAGUGGAUGGUUUAUGAACUGCUGUUUGCAUUAUAGAUGUUGCUAGUGCGUAGACGCCAAAGAUUACUUUAUACCUAUUGACGCGCCAGAUAAAGGAGGUGAAGUAUUCCUCUGAUCUAUACCUACGAAAUUCCUUUAUGUGUGUUUUGUAAUCGAUAUUGGCGGUUUUCUUAUGUGAUGCGGUGUAGAGCGUGGCUGAGGAAGGCGAUGUUUAAAGUUGCUAGUUAUUUUUCAAUACAUCUAUGAUCGGACUGUCGUGCUUGCUGUAGGUCGGACUUCCGUUCUUGAUGGUGAUUGGACGCACGUGCCGGUAGUUCACAACAAUGCGGCUUUCGAUUAUAGUAUAGAUUUAGAUGC
rnacentral:lncRNA from 1 species